AGAAAAAAGAGAAUCAAGGAAUCUGCAUUUUUUUUUUCUCCGAAAACGCGACUCAUCAAAACGCGCCACCAAGCCGCGUUUUAUGAAGUCGCGUUUCUUCACAUAUCUUGCAGGAUCGAAAACGCGACUAUGCUUAAAAACGCGACUUUGAGUCGCGUAUUUGAAGUCGCGUUUUUGGUUUCUGAACAGGCUGGAAAACGCGACUUGGUAGAAAACGCGACUUCCUGUCGCGUUUUGAAGUCGCGUUUUCUUCAGUAUAGGCGCAGAAUUUAAAACGCGAUUAUGGAAAACGCGAUUCUAAGGCGCGUUUUCAGCCCAAGUGCGUUUUCUUCUGCGAAAUUUUUGCAGAAAGCCAAUUUUUGAAAAAUUACCAUUUGUACCCCAAUCACUCAAA
rnacentral:lncRNA from 1 species